AGAGUUUGAUCCUGGCUCAGAUUGAACGCUGGCGGAAUGCUUUACACAUGCAAGUCGAACGGCAGCACGGGAGCUUGCUCCUGGUGGCGAGUGGCGAACGGGUGAGUAACAUAUCGGAACGUACCUAGUAAUGGGGGAUAACUAGUCGAAAGAUUAGCUAAUACCGCAUACGCCCUGAGGGGGAAAGCGGGGGAUCGUAAGACCUCGCGUUAUUAGAGCGGCCGAUAUCUGAUUAGCUAGUUGGUGGGGUAAAAGCCUACCAAGGCGACGAUCAGUAGCUGGUCUGAGAGGACGACCAGCCACACUGGAACUGAGACACGGUCCAGACUCCUACGGGAGGCAGCAGUGGGGAAUUUUGGACAAUGGGCGCAAGCCUGAUCCAGCCAUUCCGCGUGAGUGAAGAAGGCCUUCGGGUUGUAAAGCUCUUUCGCAAGGGAAGAAACGAUGCAGUCGAAUAAAGCKGCSKYRAKSWCGGKACCYYSAYAMGWAGYACCGGCUAACUACGWGCYAGCCUAGSCKCGRKAAKACGUWGGGUGCGACGMRUUCAGAUUAGAGUUUGAUCCUGGCUCAGAUUGAACGCUGGCGGAAUGCUUUACACAUGCAAGUCGAACGGCAGCACGGGAGCUUGCUCCUGGUGGCGAGUGGCGAACGGGUGAGUAACAUAUCGGAACGUACCUAGUAAUGGGGGAUAACUAGUCGAAAGAUUAGCUAAUACCGCAUACGCCCUGAGGGGGAAAGCGGGGGAUCGUAAGACCUCGCGUUAUUAGAGCGGCCGAUAUCUGAUUAGCUAGUUGGUGGGGUAAAAGCCUACCAAGGCGACGAUCAGUAGCUGGUCUGAGAGGACGACCAGCCACACUGGAACUGAGACACGGUCCAGACUCCUACGGGAGGCAGCAGUGGGGAAUUUUGGACAAUGGGCGCAAGCCUGAUCCAGCCAUUCCGCGUGAGUGAAGAAGGCCUUCGGGUUGUAAAGCUCUUUCGCAAGGGAAGAAACGAUGCAGUCGAAUAAACUGCGUUAAUGACGGUACCUUGAUAAGAAGCACCGGCUAACUACGUGCCAGCAGCCGCGGUAAUACGUAGGGUGCGAGCGUUAAUUAA
rnacentral:rRNA from 1 species